AGCAGCGUGGCUCAGUGGAAAGAGCAUGGGCUUGGGAGUCAGAGGUCAUGGGUUCAAAUCCCAGCUCAGCCG
rnacentral:tRNA from 1 species